GACCCCAACAUGAUUGUUAGAAUUAAAACACAACACAGAGACACUAAAGGAUUUGGUGAAGUGGAUGGGGCGGGCUACUUCUUUCUUAAUCAGAGGUUUUGAGUCUUGGGUAUGAAAAUUUUUUUUUAGCAGGAGCGCUACCUUUCGAAUGGAGCCCUACUCGGUGCGAAUCAGAAUAUAGUCGGGCUUCAAUACGGGUGGGAAACCAAAAAAAUAAAACAGAAAUAGUCAAAAAAAAAAAAAAAGGGUUUCUUUUCGGCUACUUUUCCUCUUGAGACUGAGGGUAUCAUUAACACAAUCUAAUAGAGAUCUGAAUUCUGGUCAUGUAUUUUUUUCUUUCUAUAAAGGGGUAUUAUCUUUUGGUUUCAGAUCUGACAGAUUAUAUUUAUAUAUAUAUACAGAAUCUUGUGAAAGUAAAGGCUCUCUCUUUUAAUGGUGGAAAGCAAUGGGGGAGGAACAGAGAGAUGACAGACUGACAGAAGAGAGUGAGCACACGCACACAAUUGUAUAGAGUGUAUACCUUUGUGUUUAUAUUAUUUGCGUGUGCUCACUUCUCUUUCUGUCACCUAUUUGUUUUCUUCCCUCUCUUGCCUUCCUUUGUUUUUUUUUAGCUCACAAUGGUUUUAGUUUUAUUUUGUUUCCCUUGUUUGAUUUCUUUUCAUUCUCUGAUCAUAUUGAUUUUUUCUUUUCCUUUUAUAGUUGAGUGAUUCAAAUUUACUAGUCUGAUUAAUUUAAAUUCAUGUAUGAAAAGUUUAGAUUUAUUUUCAGAGUUUGAACACGAAACCACGUAGAGAUUAUCAUACUCUGUGUAGAAAAAAUACAAGUAAGGGCAGCUCAAAGUACAAAGUAUCCGCAUAGGAUCAAAAAAAGAACCGUACUACUUGAUACAAGUAUCGAUAACUGAUUUUAGAGUUCGAAUCAGUAACUUAUAGAUCACGCUGAUACAGUUUGACCGUUGCUGAAAUGGCAGUGAACGCGUGUAUCUCUUUCUUGAAUUCCCUCUUCUUUUAUUCCACUCACCAUACAAAUAUGACAUUUACUCCAUACGCUUGACCUGUUUGUUGAUUUGACUCCGAUUGAAGGGAGCUCAACAACAGUAAAAUUCUUUCAUGAUUUGUAGAUUUCGAUUUCGAAUCAUAGUUUUUAUAUUAGGAUAGGUUAUGGAUUAUCGCUGCCCUUUUUUUUUUUACAUAUAUAUCAUCUUGUAUCUUUGCAAGUUCAUAUUUUUACAAGAUUUUAAAUGGGUUUUCAAAAAAUACAGUAGUAGAUCAGGAAAAAAAGAAGUACUAGUAGUUUUUCUGUUUGACGUUUUUGGGGAUCUUUUUUUUUUCUUUUUUUUUUUGUAAAAACCUAGAUACUGUAUUUUUUAGUGAUACCCCCAAUUAAAUAAUAUUAUUAGUUGUGACUUUUUAUGUACUUAUGUCUGAUGGAGAGGACGGACAUGGAUUUGGAAGGUAACCCUGUUACUGUUCUUAUUUAACCGAAAACUGCACUUAUUUUUUUUCUUCCAAAAAUAAAUAAAAUUGGUAAACAAGUAGAAUAGUACUUUUUCCCUCUUCUCUAGAACUGUCUAGUUUCUUCUUUCCUUUCUCUUCAUUUUCCCUUUUUUUUUUGGUAAUGGUAAUCUGCUUGUUUUAGUUGACUGUCUUUCUUUUGGAUAUUUAACCAUAAAAAAACAGUCUUUUUUCUGUAUAUUAACUCUGAUUGUUUUAAUUAAGUUGAUGAAUCUUGGAUCCCUUUGAACUAGGGAUUUGCUUAUUUUCGUGUGUCUACAGGUAAUAUUUUAUGUAGUUUUUUUGCAGAGGGAAAUGAAGAAAAUUACUAGUAAAGAGUAGAACUUCAAAUGCUUCUCAGCUAUGGAGCUAAAAAAAUUUCAUAUACAGGCUAUACGUUAUGUUGCUUCAGGACUGGAAACAACAAGAGAUGAUAUGAUCUUCAUUUGAUGGAAAAAUGUAGUGUUGUUUGGCGACCACAUGCAGAAAAUAACUCAGUACUUCCCUAGAUCUUGUCUAUUAAUUUCCCCCACCAAAUCCCCUCCUUAUCCUCCCCAAGGGAAAAAAAUUGGUAGUUGUAUACAAGGUUACUCAGUAGUUCAUUUAAAAAGCAAAAAAAAAGUAGUUGUAUACAAGGUUACCGAUUAUUUAGUUUCAAUAUGGUCUAAUGUCCAUCUACCCCAAUUUUCAUGUAUUGGCAAGAAGCGCUCAAGUUGAGGGUUGCAGUUCUGGCCGCCUUUGCUUCUAUACGAGAUUAGGUAAGUGAUCCCUGCCUUUUCUGUUACUUAUCCUUGUCCGACUGUUUGAUUCUCACCGUCUACCAAUUUUAAGGUUUUUGACGUCAUCUAAGCUUUUGUAGUUAGUAUGCUGCAACUACUUGUUGAUAGAUUUUAGAGGUUUGCAAUUUCAUAAAAUUCUCUCAGCAUGGGAAUUGGGAACCUAUUGAAAGACCUGCACACUUAUAUUGUCAUCGAUUACAUGCGUAUUACAGCCAAGUUAGUUUAGGCGUUGAAGUGAACAUGUUGAUAGGAGUAGAACUGCGAGAAUUAUAGCAACUAUCACUUGAGAGAACAAAUCUAUAAAGUAAUAGACGUUUGUAGCUGCUCUUACGGUAAUUGUUGGUGGUUUUCACCUGAAGUUGAGUAUUCGGAGUGAUAUAGAGAGGGAAAAUACUGUGUAAUAUGAACUAAUAGCUACCUACCAGAACCACUAAAUGUUACUUGUCUGCUCAGUUUUGGUUGUAGUAAUCUCAUUUUCCUUCUUUUGAAAAGCUUUAUGAUAAAGUUUUGUUCUUUACUUGCAUACUACGAAUAUCAUACAUUUGUAAUUGAGCUAUUGUUACAGUUGACAUAUUUGUAACCGUCUAUUUCUUGCCACGGUGAAUUUUAUGGUGAUUGCUGUUCUUGUCUAUGUUUUGUCACUGAAGCUUCCGAUGAUGCCUUGUUCUGAUUGAAGUGUAAAUAAACGUUGUGCCCUUACCAGGAGAGACCUUAUCCCAUUGGUCGGGUGCGAAUAGAAGCAGCCCUAAGCAGAAACCUUGUACCCCAUGUUUGAUCCUAAAGAAACAUGUUGUCAAGUUUUUCAAAUGCAGAGGACUGUUGUAGGCCAACUUUCACCUCUUCUUCAAUAGGUGUGCAUAGUACCUUGUCAUAUAAAUUCAUAUGAGAAAAUUGCAUUGAGAGAAAUCAAUAAAGAAAAGGAAAACGGGUCAACCGCAUCAACAUGUGAUUUUGAGAGAUUGUCCUCGGGCUAAGUAGUAUCCACAUGAGUUUGUUUGGAGGUGUUUACACGUCUGUGGUCCUCUUUUAUAUUCUCUUGAGAGUUCGAAUUGCUCCAUCUAUUUCUUA